rnacentral:rRNA from 2 species
AAAACGACUCUCGGCAACGGAUAUCUCGGCUCUCGCAUCGAUGAAGAACGUAGCGAAAUGCGAUACUUGGUGUGAAUUGCAGAAUCCCGCGAACCAUCGAGUCUUUGAACGCAAGUUGCGCCCGAAGCCAUUCGGCCGAGGGCACGCCUGCCUGGGCGUCAC